rnacentral:rRNA from 1 species
AGAGUUUGAUCAUGGCUCAGGACGAACGCUGGCGGCGUGCUUAACACAUGCAAGUCGAGCGGUAAGGCCCCUUCGGGGGUACACGAGCGGCGAACGGGUGAGUAACACGUGAGCAACCUACCCUCAACUUCGGGAUAAGCCUCGGAAACGGGGUCUAAUACCGGAUAUCACUGACUGCUUCAUGGCGGUUGGUUGAAAGUUCUGGCGGUUGGGGAUGGGCUCGCGGCCUAUCAGCUUGUUGGUGGGGUAAUGGCCUACCAAGGCGACGACGGGUAGCCGGCCUGAGAGGGUGACCGGCCACACUGGGACUGAGAUACGGCCCAGACUCCUACGGGAGGCAGCAGUGGGGAAUAUUGCACAAUGGGCGGAAGCCUGAUGCAGCGACGCCGCGUGAGGGAUGACGGCCUUCGGGUUGUAAACCUCUUUCAGCAGGGACGAAGCGGCUGGGCUUUCUCAGUCGUGACGGUACCUGCAGAAGAAGCGCCGGCCAACUACGUGCCAGCAGCCGCGGUAAUAC